CGGUUCGAUUCCGAUAGCCGGCU
rnacentral:tRNA from 1 species